ensembl:snoRNA
CAGAAAACCCUCAUACAUUCCUUUCUUAAGAGUAUUCAGACUGCAUUCGAGCAACCUGGAGAGACAGCUCAGGUCAACUCAAUACCUGUGGCUGCCACUCACCUUUCCUAUAGGA